UCUUUCAUUAUUUCUGCUUCCUACUGCCUGUUGCCAGGCAUUGUGUUUAAGCCCUUAUGUUCUUCCAUCAUGCUUUAUACCAUGCAUAAUAUAUGUUUUUAGUGGUUCGACCGGUUCAACGUUAAUCGACAUGUUAAAAUCUGUAUGGAUUUUUUUUAUUAUUUUUCAAGUUUGCCUUGUUAGAAAUACAGUUGGUUCGAUAGGUGACAAGUCACAAAUAUACAAUCAAUGUCUCGCACUGUGUCGCAGUAGCAACUGCAAAAAUGAAACAGAUUUUAAGGAACAACCUUCUUUAUCGUUAAUCUUGCUACACUGGUCUUGUAAGGAAGAUUGCAGUUAUAUUUGCACAUGGAGAACUGUUGAUUACUUUGUAUCUCACGGUUUGAAGAUACCACAGUUUCAUGGAAAAAUAUGCUUAAACGGAUGGUUUUGGUCAACUGUAUUUCACUCGCGGGACUGGCCAUUUACAGAAGCUAUGGACUAUUCUUGUGCAUUCAGUAUGGUACUUACACUGUUAUAUUGUAUGCUUUUAAGGAUAACGAAUCUAAGAACUAAAGCAUUUUUUGUAAUAACUUGUGGAUAUGUGAGCAUUUUAUGUACACAUUUGUCACAUUUAUGGUCAGGCAGAAUUAAUUAUGGUUAUAAUAUGAUGCUUAAUGUAACUAUAGGACUAACAACUGUUGCGACAACAAUGCUAUGGUGGUAUUUUAACCACAACAAGUUACCAUAUAUGUACUUAAUUGCUUGGUUCAAUAUAUUGACUAUUCUCAUGUCUCUACUAGAGUUGGUAGACUUUCCUCCUAUUUUUUGGAUAUUUGAUGCUCAUUCCUUGUGGCAUGCCAGUACAGUUCCUUUAACGAUAUUAUUAUAUAGGUUUAUGAUUACAGAUUGCUGUUAUCUGAAAAGAUAUUAUGAUAGAUCAUUUUUUAAUAUUGAUCACCACUGGCAGUAAUUUAUUUUACAUAAUGCUAAUCUGUAUAGGCCUUCAUAAAUCUUCAAGGGCAGUAACAAACAUUGGCAGGGAGAUCAUAAUGUUGUUAAUCUUUGCAGAAAAUAUGAUUAUCAUCUCUGUGCUUCUCAAGAUUUCCAGAUAGGGUCGGAUCUGGCCGCCGCCUUUUAAAGAAGCCGAGUUUUCUCAGUAUUAAUGUAAGUAGAAUGAAUAACAACAUUCCAGCCACUGCGGCUACUACAUAUAUCCAAACUGGUACAGGCUCAGCUUCUUGUUGAUCUAAUAGAUCUGGAUAAGCAAUUGUCUCGGCCUAUGUAACAAUGUGAAAUAACUGUUAAAUAAUUUUUAUCGUUAUGUUUUUAACAUUUUUUACAUAUUUUUUCAUAUUAUAUCCAAGAAAAAUCCAAUAUUUGAAUUUUCUUAUCAGUUAUUAAUAUCUCAAAAUAUUGUAUAUAGAGAAAAAUAUACUUACGGUUGCGUAAUCGUCUUUCAAGUU
rnacentral:misc_RNA from 1 species